rnacentral:rRNA from 1 species
GCACAAGCGGUGGAUGAUGUGGAUUAAUUCGAUGCAACGCGAAAAACCUUACCUACCCUUGACAUGCCAGGAACCCUGCUGAGAGGUGGGGUGCUCGAAAGAGAGCCUGGACACAGGUGCUGCAUGGCUGUCGCCAGCUCGUGUCGUGAGAUGUUGGGUUAAGUCCCGCAACGAGCGCAACCCUUGUCAUUAGUUGCCAUCAUUCAGUUGGGCACUCUAAUGAGACUGCCGGUGACAAACCGGAGGAAGGUGGGGAUGACGUCAAGUCCUCAUGGCCCUUAUAGGUGGGGCUACACACGUCAUACAAUGGAUGGUACAAAGGGUCGCCAACCCGCGAGGGGGAGCCAAUCCCAUAAAGCCAUUCGUAGUCCGGAUCGCAGUCUGCAACUCGACUGCGUGAAGUCGGAAUCGCUAGUAAUCGUGGAUCAGAAUGUCACGGUGAAUACGUUCCCGGGUCUU